rnacentral:misc_RNA from 1 species
AUUUUAAUUCAUUUUAUCUUAUUUGAAUACACAAGAAGCCAUGAAUUCUCAAAUUCACAGUGCCAUACAUGUAAUGUAGAUGGAUAGCUGCAUUGAGGCUGAAACCCGCAAUUCAGUUCUCAACAAUGUUCAUAUAGGUGACAGACACAUGCAAGUUCAAAUUUACAUGCACCAAAAGCAACCCUGCCCCAGACAAUCUACCCAGUGUUAGAGCAGCCUGAAUCGCAACUGUCAUAACGACAGUCUCAAGCCUCCAUAUACUUACUGCAUCAGCAUAUCUGCAAAUCCAGAAUUAGCCAACCUUUUGCCAACAAGAUC